AUGCGGUGGGCCCUAGCGGUGCUUCUAGCUUUCCUGUCUCCUGCCAGUCAGAUAUCUUCCAACUUGGAAGGGAGAACGAAGUCAGUCACCAGGCUGACUGGGUCAUCUGCUGAAAUCACCUGUGAUCUUCCUGGAGCAAGUACCUUAUACAUCCACUGGUACCUGCACCAGGAGGGGAAGGCCCCACAGUGUCUUCUGUACUAUGAACCCUACUACUCCAGGGUUGUGCUGGAAUCAGGAAUCACUCCAGGAAAGUAUGACACUGGAAGCACAAGGAGCAAUUGGAAUUUGAGACUGCAAAAUCUAAUUAAAAAUGAUUCUGGGUUCUAUUACUGUGCCACCUGGGACAGG